rnacentral:rRNA from 1 species
GACGAACGCUGGCGGCGCGCUUAACACAUGCAAGUCGAACGAUGAACCCGGAGCUUGCUCCGGCGGAUUAGUGGCGAACGGGUGAGUAACACGUGAGUAACCUGCCCUUGACUCUGGGAUAACUGCUAGAAAUGGUAGCUAAUACCGGAUACGACCCUCGGCGGCAUCGCCAGGGGGUGGAAAGAAUUUCGGUCAAGGAUGGACUCGCGGCCUAUCAGCUAGGUGGUGAGGUAACGGCUCACCAAGGCGACGACGGGUAGCCGGCCUGAGAGGGUGACCGGCCACACUGGGACUGAGACACGGCCCAGACUCCUACGGGAGGCAGCAGUGGGGAAUAUUGCACAAUGGGCGCAAGCCUGAUGCAGCAACGCCGCGUGAGGGAUGACGGCCUUCGGGUUGUAAACCUCUUUUAGUAGGGAAGAAGCGAAAGUGACGGUACCUGCAGAAAAAGCACCGGCUAACUACGUGCCAGCCGCCGCGGUAA